rnacentral:lncRNA from 1 species
CAAGGGGUGCAAAUCCCGCAUCACAUGGGUAUAGCUCCUAAACCCUCAUGGAGACCAACCUGGUCAAGGGUUCAAGUCACUAGUCUAACUGGAUUUGCAUUAAAAUAAAAUAUUAAUUUUCUACAUAUAACUUUGAUAAAUUUAAUAAUGAUAUUAGUAACGUAAAAAUAUUAAUAGAUUUGAUAAAUUUUCUACAUCAACCAUUACUCUUUAAUUGCAACAAAUAUAAAAGAUAAUCAUGGAUUAUCUAUUUCUUGAGAGCAUGUAAAUAAAAUAUAUGUAUAAAUAAUAAAAUGAUAUAUAUUCAUUCUUUCAUUUUUAUCAAGGGAAAAGGAUUGAUAGUUAUAAAAAUAAUUAAUUAUUAAAUAGAAAGUAUCGUCCUAAUUAUUCUAUUUAAUGAUUGGACUGAGAUUUAAAUAAGUAAAAUAAACCAUAACUGCAUAAUAGGAUUGAAUGUUGUACCUUGGUGGUUCAGUGUUUGUUAUCCAAGUAACAUGACACAAGUAUGGUUCUACGCAUGGGAACAAAAUUAUUUGGGACAAUAUUUUACUAAAAUUUACCAGAUAUUUAGAUAUGGAUUCGGAAAAUCUUUAGAAUUUGAAUCCAGUUUUAGAUCUGGCAAGAAGUAUCCGGAUCCAAUUGGAUACUAGAAGUUGUAUCUGAAUCCAAUCCAAAUUGAGUAUGGUUGGAAAUUAUCUAACCUGUUUUCAGCCCUAUCUUUUGGACUCAUUACCUUACUGUUUUGGCUCUCUAGUGAUUUUCCUGGAGAGGAAGGAAUUGGCAAACUUUUUGUCAGUGUCAUCAACUGGAGACUUAAUCAAGGAUGUUGAGUGCUAUCAACUUGAGUCCUAGUAAAGACCAAGAUAUUUCAAUUUCUUGCUUUCUUAAUUUAGUUUUGACUCUUGGAUUGCUUGUAUUUAUUUCAGUACCCAUGAAAUGAAUUAAUGGUCCCUGCCAUCUUCUCUUUCAAAAAAGAAGGCCAAAAAUUUCUGCUAUAGGUCUUCAGGUGAGUUAUAGGUCCAAAGAAGAGUUUUUAAAGAAAACAACAUACUAGUUCUAUAACAGAAAUUGGGAUCACAUAUUUUAUGUUUCUGUAUGAAACAAAAUUUGUGAAGCAAGGGAGAAAUAUGAGAGAGAGANN